AGAGUUUGAUCCUGGCUCAGGACGAACGCUGGCGGCGUGCCUAACACAUGUAAGUCGAACGGGACUGGGGGCAACUCCAGUUCAGUGGCAGACGGGUGCGUAACACGUGAGAAACUUGUCCAACGGCGGGGGAUAGCCGGCCCAACGGCCGGGUAAUACCGCAUACGAUCUUUCGGGGGCAUCCCUGGGAGAUGAAAGCCGCCGCAAGGUGGCACCGAUGGAGAGUCUCGCGGCCUAUCAGCUAGUUGGCGGGGUAACGGCCCACCAAGGCGACGACGGGUAGCUGGUCUGAGAGGAUGAUCAGCCACAUUGGGACUGAGACACGGCCCAGACUCCUACGGGAGGCAGC
rnacentral:rRNA from 1 species